rnacentral:rRNA from 1 species
AGAGUUUGAUCCUGGCUCAGGACGAACGCUGGCGGCACGCUUAACACAUGCAAGUCGAACGAGAGAAGAGGAGCUUGCUUUUCUGAUCUAGUGGCGGACGGGUGAGUAACACGUGAGCAAUCUGCCUUUCAGAGGGGGAUACCGAUUGGAAACGAUCGUUAAUACCGCAUAACAUAAUUGAACCGCAUGAUUUGAUUAUCAAAGAUUUAUCGCUGAAAGAUGAGCUCGCGUCUGAUUAGCUAGUUGGUAAGGUAACGGCUUACCAAGGCGACGAUCAGUAGCCGGACUGAGAGGUUGAUCGGCCACAUUGGGACUGAGACACGGCCCAGACUCCUACGGGAGGCAGCAGUGGGGAAUAUUGCACAAUGGAGGAAACUCUGAUGCAGCGAUGCCGCGUGAGGGAAGAAGGUUUUAGGAUUGUAAACCUCUGUCUUCAGGGACGAAAAAAGACGGUACCUGAGGAGGAAGCUCCGGCUAACUACGUGCCAGCAGCCGCGGUAAUACGUAGGGAGCGAGCGUUGUCCGGAAUUACUGGGUGUAAAGGGAGCGUAGGCGGGAUCGCAAGUCAGAUGUGAAAACUAUGGGCUUAACCCAUAAACUGCAUUUGAAACUGUGGUUCUUGAGUGAAGUAGAGGUAAGCGGAAUUCCUAGUGUAGCGGUGAAAUGCGUAGAUAUUAGGAGGAACAUCAGUGGCGAAGGCGGCUUACUGGGCUUUAACUGACGCUGAGGCUCGAAAGCGUGGGGAGCAAACAGGAUUAGAUACCCUGGUAGUCCACGCCGUAAACGAUGAUUACUAGGUGUGGGGGGACUGACCCCUUCCGUGCCGCAGCAAACGCAAUAAGUAAUCCACCUGGGGAGUACGACCGCAAGGUUGAAACUCAAAGGAAUUGACGGGGGCCCGCACAAGCAGUGGAGUAUGUGGAUUAAUUCGAAGCAACGCGAAGAACCUUACCAGGCCUUGACAUCGUAUGCAUAGCUCAGAGAUGAGUGAAAUCUCUUCGGAGACAUAUAGACAGGUGGUGCAUGGUUGUCGUCAGCUCGUGUCGUGAGAUGUUGGGUUAAGUCCCGCAACGAGCGCAACCCUUACUGUUAGUUGCUACGCAAGAGCACUCUAGCAGGACUGCCGUUGACAAAACGGAGGAAGGUGGGGAUGACGUCAAAUCAUCAUGCCCCUUAUGACCUGGGCCUCACACGUACUACAAUGGCUGUCAACAGAGGGAAGCAAAGCCGCGAGGUGGAGCGAACCCCUAAAAGCAGUCUUAGUUCGGAUUGUAGGCUGCAACCCGCCUACAUGAAGUCGGAAUUGCUAGUAAUCGCAGAUCAGCAUGCUGCGGUGAAUACGUUCCCGGGCCUUGUACACACCGCCCGUCACGCCAUGGGAGUCGGUAACACCCGAAGCCUGUAGUCUAACCGCAAGGAGGACGCAGUCGAAGGUGGGAUUGAUGACUGGGGUGAAGUCGGAACAAGGUA